rnacentral:lncRNA from 1 species
GGGGCUGGACUUCCCCUCCGAGUGGGGCCUCUCCCCAUCAGGGUCAGUGGUAGAUGAACUAGAGCCCCACCCCACGGCACCUCCCGAGCCACCAUCCUCUGAGUCCAGCCUCUCAGCAGACUGCAGCUCUUCCUGGAGCCAAGAGGGCCAUUUCUUUGACCCAAACUGCCUGGCCAACGACCCGAUGAUCCCUGCCGCCCUCCUGCCCUUCCGGGGUAGCCUCAUCUUCCAGGUGGAAGCUGUGGAGGUGACACCGUUGCCCCAAGAGGAGGAGGAGGAUGAAGAGGAGGGAGCUGCUGCUGCUGCUGCUGCUGCUGCAACCCCGGAUGGAGACCUGGCUGGAGAGGGUGAGGACGACAGCACAUCUGCCUCCUUCCUGCAGUCGCUGUCCGACCUGUCCAUUAUCGAGGGCAUGGAUGAGGC